UUUUUGACCCCGAAUGAAUUUCUUGGGAAGAUUCAUGAGAAAGAUACAGCAGGUUGUUUUGAUAGAAAGAAAGAGGGAAAAGGUAUGUUGUAUCAGUCACAAGGAUUGUGAUCCUAAGCAGGCGAGACAAAGAAAUUUGGGAGGUGAUAGGAGAUUGAAUCAGAAAAGUUUUAAAGGCAGAGGUAGAGGAUUUGGUCAAAGGGUCUAACUUUUGUAGAG